rnacentral:rRNA from 1 species
UAAGCAUAUCAAUAAGCGGAGGAAAAGAAACCAACAGGGAUUGCCCUAGUAACGGCGAGUGAAGCGGCAACAGCUCAAAUUUGAAAUCUGGCCCUAGCGGUCCGAGUUGUAAUUUGUAGAGGAUGCUUUAGGUGCGGUGCCUUCCGAGUUCCCUGGAACGGGACGCCAGAGAGGGUGAGAGCCCCGUACGGUUGGCCACCUACCCUAUAUAUAGCUCCUUCGACGAGUCGAGUAGUUUGGGAAUGCUGCUCUAAAUGGGAGGUAAAUUUCUUCUAAAGCUAAAUACCGGCCAGAGACCGAUAGCGCACAAGUAGAGUGAUCGAAAGAUGAAAAGCACUUUGAAAAGAGGGUUAAAUAGCACGUGAAAUUGUUGAAAGGGAAGCGUUUGCGACCAGACUUUUUCCAGGCGGAUCAUCCGGUGUUCUCACCGGUGCACUUCGCCUGGCUGAGGCCAGCAUCGGUUUCCUUAGGGGGAUAAAGGCUUGGGGAACGUAGCUCUCUAGGGAGUGUUAUAGCCCCUCGCGUAAUACCCCUCGGGGGACCGAGGAACGCGCUCUGCAAGGAUGCUGGCGUAAUGGUCGUCAACGACCCGUCUU